rnacentral:lncRNA from 1 species
GAAAUCUAUGAAAUUUUAACACAAGGUUUAUGACCACAAAAGGAAGGUUGGGAUUGAUUUUGGGAGUUUUAGUCCCAACAUUUUAGGAAUUAGGGGUCAAAAAGGGCCCAAAUAAGCAUUUUCUUGGUUUUCGCACUAUAACUUUAGUUUAAGUAAAUAGAAAUCUAUGAAAUUUUGACAUAAGGUUUAUGACCACAAAAGAAAGGUUGGGAUUGAUUUUGGGAGUUUUGGUUCAAACAGUUUAGGAAUUAGGGGCCAAAAAAGGGCCCAAAUAAGCAUUAUUCUUGGUUUUCGCACAAUAACUUUAGUUUAAGUAAAUAGAAAUCAAUGAAAUUUAAACACAAUGUUUAUGACCACAAAAGG